rnacentral:rRNA from 1 species
CAGCCGUAAACUAUGCGCGUUAGGUGUACUGGUGACCACGAGUCACCGGGUGCCGAAGGGAAACCGUGAAACGUGCCGCCUGGGAAGUACGGUCGCAAGGCUGAAACUUAAAGGAAUUGGCGGGGGAGGCGACCACAACGGGUGGAGCCUGCGGUUUAAUUGGACUUCAACGCCGGAAAUCUCACCGGAUAGGACAGACAAAUGAUAGUCGGGCUGAAGACUCUACUUGAUGAUCUGAGAGGAGGUGCAUGGCGUCAG